rnacentral:rRNA from 1 species
GACAGAGGGGGCAAGCGUUGCUCGGAAUUACUGGGCGUAAAGGGCGCGUAGGCGGCCUACUAAGUCGGACGUGAAAUCCCUCGGCUCAACCGAGGAACUGCGUCCGAUACUGGUGGGCUUGAAUCCGGGAGAGGGAUGUGGAAUUCCAGGUGUAGCGGUGAAAUGCGUAGAGAUCCGGAAGAACACCGGUGGCGAAGGCGGUCUGCUGGGCAGUGGCUCGCAAGGGCCAAUAGCCGACACUGAGGCGCGACAGCGUGGGGAGCAAACAGG